GUGCUCUCUUCAGCGGCACACACACUAAAAUUGGAACAAUACAGAAAUAUUAACAUGGCCCUUGCUCAAGGAUAAUGUGUAAAUUCAUGAAGCAUUCUGCGUGUGU